rnacentral:lncRNA from 1 species
UUCCCACCGGGCGGCGUGCCGCGGUCCGCGCCGCCGUUGUGCCGAGGGGAAGUUGCGGGGGGAUCCGGGUGCGUGCGUGGGAAGGCGGCGGGGGAUGGUUUCGCCGUUCCCCGGCCGGUACCGGUCACCGGGUCGUGGACGUUCCCGUGGGAGAGCGGGGCUGGAAGCGAGGAAGGGGAAAAACAUCUCAAAGGGAGUUGUGAUCUAAAAGAGAAGAAGGAAGUUGUUGAAGAAACAGAAAAUGGCAGAGAUGCACCGGCCAACGGCAAUGCUAACGAGGAAAAUGGAGAGCAAGAGGCUGAUAACGAAGUAGAUGAAGAAGAAGAGGAAGGUGGUGAGGAAGAAGACGAGGAGGAAGAGGGGGAGGAAGAGGAUGGUGAUGAAGACGACGAAGCUGAGGGAGCCACAGGGAAACGGGCAGCUGAGGAUGACGAGGAUGACGACGUCGAUCCCAAGAAGCAGAAAACUGAUGAAGACGACUAGGCAGCAAAUUAUAAUUAUUUUUUUUAAAUAAGGAGGAAAAAAACAAACCAACAAAAAAGGCCAGCGCGUCCUCUUCACCCCUGGGACCCCCCCCCAUUCCCUUUCUCCUGUCGCAGCCCUCCCCACACACAGCCCUUCCUCCCCCCUCGCCGUGGUCAUCCUCACCAAGUAGAGUGAACCCCAUCCCGGCCCCGCGGCGCUGCCACUCAAUGAGCAUAGAAACGAUUCGCCCGUUCGCGGGGAGAGAAACCCCCUUCCCACAGACCCCAUUUCCACCCCCCUCCCUCCCCCCCGAGCACCUAAACUUCAAGGCCCUGCUUUCUUUCUUAAAAGUACUUUAAAGGAGAAUUUGUUUGUAUUUUUUAUUUACAUUUUAUAUUUUUGUACAUAUUGUUAGGAGGUCCGCCAUUUUUAAGUGAUCUCGGAUUGACCAAAAGGGGGGCUUUGAAGUGUAUAUCUCUUGUUACCUAUCUCUGACUUUACUUGUGGUGUGACCAGGCCCAAACCAUUAUCUCAAAGGAGAAUAAAAAAAAAAAACUUGUAAAAAAAAAAAAAGAC